rnacentral:rRNA from 1 species
AACGAACGCUGGCGGCAGGCCUAACACAUGCAAGUCGAGCGAGGACUUCGGUCCUAGCGGCGGACGGGUGAGUAACGCGUGGGAACGUGCCCUUUGCUUCGGAAUAGCCCUGGGAAACUGGGAGUAAUACCGGAUGAGCCCUUUGGGGGAAAGAUUUAUCGGCGAAGGAUCGGCCCGCGUUGGAUUAGGUAGUUGGUGGGGUAAUGGCCUACCAAGCCGACGAUCCAUAGCUGGUUUGAGAGGAUGAUCAGCCACACUGGGACUGAGACACGGCCCAGACUCCUGCGGGCGGCCGCCGUGGGGAAUCUUCGCCCAUGGGGGAAACCCUGAUCUAGCCAUGCCGCGUGAGCGAUGAAGGCCUUAGGGUUGUAAAGCUCUUUCAGCUGGGACGAUAAUGACGGUACCCGCAGAAGAAGCCCCGGCUCACUCCGUG